CAAACCGAUGCAAUGCAUCAAAUAAAACAAACCGACAUAUACAAACACAACCGACGCGAGUAUAAAAAAAAUCUACACCGCUUCAUUCUGUAACCGUCAUCCAAAACUAAACCGCCAUAAAACCAGUUGAAGUAUUUCGGCUGUUCUAAUGGUUCUAAUAAUGGUUCACAAAAACUAUUCAAUGUGUUACUCCACGAGUUGAAACUCUUCGCCGGAAUAACGUCAAUCUCAACGGUUGUGUCGUUUCUUUUUUUGAUUCAGCACUCCACCGAAAUUAGGGAUUGCAACCCUUCGCCGAAAUCCCGACAGGACUUAUAGCUGAUACAAGAUGGUGAGGAUAAUCGAACACCCUGCGUUUUUCUGCAAGUCUUCAUCCUGCAAUGGCCAUAUCAUUUAAAAUGAAUGUUUUAAAUUAAUGCAUUAUCACAAUUAAUUCAAAAGGAGAAUUUCAAUGUAUUUGAUAUUGAGACGGUCUAAGAGGAAGGCCGUGGCCGGCUUACAACAGUGUCACCGUCGUCUGCGUAAUUUUCGCCUCCAUUCAAGUAUCUAAUCCCUUCAGCUUCUAAAGUUAGGCCAUGGCUUUUGGUGGUCAACCGUGGCGGUCGCGGUGGAGAUGAACAAGAAACAAAGCAUUAUAAUCGAAAGAAAUGAAAUUGAAGUGAAAGGUGUGUUUUGAUUUCAGAAUUUGGAUCGUUAGAAUUUACCUCAUUUCCUUUCGCUACAGGCGAUGAUUGGAUGAUUUUGGGGUACACUACGGUUUCGAUUUUGGUUGUUCGCUGUGAAAAACGUUCGAAACCUAGAUUUAUUUAGGUUUUAUAUGUUUGUUUUUUAGUUUGAUUAUAUAUUGCGUGUCAUUCA